CGCGGGGUGGAGCAGUGGUAGCUCGUCGGGCUCAUAACCCGAAGGUCACAGGUUCGAAUCCUGUCCCCGCUA
rfam:Candidatus Amoebophilus asiaticus 5a2, complete genome.